rnacentral:rRNA from 1 species
ACUCCUACGGGAGGCAGCAGUGGGGAAUAUUGCACAAUGGGCGCAAGCCUGAUGCAGCCAUCGCGUGUGUGAGAAGCAUGGGCUUGGUUAAGACNCUUUCAGUCGUGAGGAAGGUAGUGUAGUUAAUAGCUGCAUUAUUUGACGUUAGCGACAGAAGAAGCACCGGCUAACUCCGUGCCAGCAGCCGCGGUAAUACGGAGGGUGCGAGCGUUAAUCGGAAUUACUGGGCGUAAAGCGCAUGCAGGUGGUUUGUUAAGUCAGAUGUGAAAGCCCGGGGCUCAACCUCGGAAUUGCAUUUGAAACUGGCAGACUAGAGUACUGUAGAGGGGGGUAGAAUUUCAGGUGUAGCGGUGAAAUGCGUAGAGAUCUGAAGGAAUACCGGUGGCGAAGGCGGCCCCCUGGACAGAUACUGACACUCAGAUGCGAAAGCGUGGGGAGCAAACA